rnacentral:rRNA from 1 species
UACAGAGGUCUCGAGCGUUAGGCGGAAUCACUGGGCUUAAAGCGUGUGUAGGUGGAUCGUUAAGUACCUUGUGAAAUCCCACGGCUUAACCGUGGAACUGCUUGGUAUACUGGCGGUCUUGAGCCAGCUAGGGGCUACCGGAACAAAUGGUGGAGCGGUGAAAUGCGUAGAUAUCUGGAGGAACACCGGUGGCGAAGGCGGCAUCCUGGACCGGUAUUGACGCUGAGGCGCGAAAGCCAGGGGAGCAAACGGG